GCAGGUAAGGGCAAUCUGGCUGUGACUUCUGACACCCCACUGAUUGUCAACAUGGAUUCCACUGAUCUGGCUGGCUAGGUUGGUGUGUCCUUUCUCUCUCACCAGUUCAUGUCUGUCCCACCAAAACUCUGUGCUCGGCUGACGAAGACAAGCUUCCCAAUAGAAGACCAGUUUUUAGUCCAGUCCCUGGCUAGGACCAUCAAACAAGUUCUUAAAAAACAGACUGGAAGGAUUAUGAAGUUAAAAAAAAAAAAAAGAAUGAAAGAAAAGAAAAGAAACAGGCUGCACAUGACACAGAAAUUCUCUGCUGACUU
rnacentral:sRNA from 1 species